rnacentral:piRNA from 1 species
GUGUGGAGAGGUUCUGAGUAUGUG